CGGCCGCCUCCUUAGCUGCAAACCCUAGCAGGAACUCGCCAUGGGGAAGGUGCACGGAUCGCUUGCUCGCGCCGGGAAGGUGAGGGGGCAGACGCCGAAGGUGGCGAAGCAGGACAAGAAGAAGAAGCCGAGGGGCCGGGCACACAAGCGGAUGCAGUACAAUCGCCGCUUCGUCACCGCCGUCGUCGGAUUCGGCAAGAAGAGGGGCCCCAACUCGUCGGAGAAGUAAAUGCAUCGAAUUUCCAAUGGUUUGAAUGCUUUACAUUUUCGAUUACUCUUAGUUUGGACUCAAUGUUUUGGUUGUAGUUUCGGAGAAUGUUACUGAAUGUUGAAAGUUGUCUCUUUU
rnacentral:misc_RNA from 1 species